rnacentral:rRNA from 1 species
UACGUAGGGGGCUAGCGUUGUCCGGAAUCAUUGGGCGUAAAGAGCGUGUAGGCGGUCCGGUAAGUCCGUUGUGAAAGUCAGGGGCUCAACCCUUGAAUGCCGGCGGAUACUGUCGGGCUAGAGUCCGGAAGAGGCGAGUGGAAUUCCCGGUGUAGCGGUGAAAUGCGCAGAUAUCAGGAAGAACACCCGUGGCGAAGGCGGUUCUCUGGGACGGUACUGACGCUGAGACGCGAAAGCGUGGGGAGCGAACAGG